rnacentral:rRNA from 1 species
UACGAAGGGGGCUAGCGUUGCUCGGAAUCACUGGGCGUAAAGCGCACGUAGGCGGAUUGCUAAGUCGAGGGGUGAAAUCCUGGAGCUCAACUCCAGAACUGCCUUUGAUACUGGCAACCUUGAGUCCGGGAGAGGUGAGUGGAACUGCGAGUGUAGAGGUGAAAUUCGUAGAUAUUCGCAAGAACACCAGUGGCGAAGGCGGCUCACUGGCCCGGUACUGACGCUGAGGUGCGAAAGCGUGGGGAGCAAACAGG